UUCAAGAUCAAGGCCAGUGCAUYCAAGGCACGUCAUGGAGGAUUGAGUACAGCGAUGCCAUCGAAGACCAUGCUAUUGUUGGUCCUCUCUUAAAGUCCAUUACGGCUUUAACCGACAACGACUGCAAAGAUKCCUGCUUCAUGCACGUCCCUGAUGUAUGCUACAUGUUCAACUAUCACCCAAAGACCAAGAAAUGUGAACUUUUCUACAAAGAUCGUGCUUCAGAAUACAGAGUAGAAAUGCGGAGUGGAUAUUUAUUUAAAACACUAAAGUGCAAGUCAAACCAAUGCCUUAACGGCGGGCAGUGCUACUCCCUGGGACAAAGUACACAAUGCUUAUGCAGACACGGACGCAGUGGACCAACUUGUGCUUAAUUCAAGCCUCCUUAAUUCAAUGACAGCAUGAUUCCACAAGAGCACUGCCACCCUGGGCAAUACAGGCUGGAUUUAAUCUUUUUUAUAGUUUAUUUAUGCUGCUUCACGUCGUCUUUAAGGCUGUUAG